rnacentral:rRNA from 1 species
UCACUGGNAGGGACUGCANAAUGACAGCCAGGCUAACGACCUUGCCUGACAAGCUGAGAGGAGGUGCAUGGCCGCCGUCGGUUCGUACUGUGGGGCGUACUCUUAAGUGAGUCAACGAACGAGACCCUCACCUGCGGUUGCCAGCUUGCCCUCCGGGGCGAUGGGUACUCUGCGAGGACCGCUGGUGCUAAACCGGAGGAAGGAGGGGGCAACGGUAGGUCAGUAUGCCCCGAAUCUCCCGGGCUACACGCGGCCUACAAUGAGCGAGACAAUGAGUCCUGACGCCGAAAGGNGUAUGGAAUCUCCUAAACUCGCCCGAAGUUCGGAUUGAGGGUUGGCACUCCCCCUCCUGAAAGUGGAAUCCC